rnacentral:tRNA from 1 species
GCCUAGUUGGCUCAGUUGGUUGAGUGUCCAACUUCAGCUUGGGUCAUGAUGAUCUCGCAGUUCAUGAGUUCAAGCCCCACAUUGGGCU